UCAGGGCUGCUGGAGGAAGAGUUACCUAGAGGAGCCUGGCUCUGCUUGAGUGGCAUUAUUAAAGACAAACUGCAUCCAGGUUGGAGCUGAGCAGUAAUUUACCCACGGCCGGGCUAAGUGGGAAAGGCAAAGCUGACAGAACUUACUGCGUAGCAUGACUCUCCCGAAGACGGUGUGGUCUCUAUCCAGCGUGCUGCAGUUCCAGCGGUGGUGCCGGAACUGGUGUUGGCAUUCCCGGAUCCACUCUUUCGCUCCCUCCCCAACUGACUGCAUGAUAUCGGGGUACCUCUGGCAGAGUUGCCGUUGCUUGUUGACUAGUCCAGGGAUGUUAUCGCAGAUCACUCUUGCCCCCAGUGCCCCGAUGUACCUGUAGAAAGAGAACACACUGUGAAAAAUCAGCACAGUGCAGGCACUUUAUUAUGUUCAGGGAGUGGGGUCCCAUGGCUUAGAGCAGGGGGGACUCGGCGUCAGGACUCCAGGGUUCUAUUCUAAGCUUUGGGAGGGGAAUGAGGGUUGGUGUGUUAAAAACCAGGAGUCUGGACUCUUGCUUCAGCUCUCGCCCUGGGAGGGAAGAGGGGUCUACUGGCAAAGAGGGUGGGGCAGGACUGGAAGUCAGGUGUUCUGGGUUCUGUUCCUUGCACUGCCAUUCACUCUGUAUGAUUUGCUCACACCAUGGUAAGCUUGGUGUGCCCCAGUUCCUCUCCUUCUUGUGCUGUGUCUUGGAUUAUGCACUGGGCAGGCAACCGGCUGCUUCAACCUCCCCAGCCUUCCUCCCCUCCCUGCAUGCCAGAAGCCAUUCUGGGAGGGACUGUUUUGCUUCCUACUGGUGAAGCUGAUAUAUAUAGUCACUUGACUUACGAUGACUGCUUUGGGAGAACAUUGACUGGGGGCUAAGCCCCGGUUUUCCCCAUCAGCAGGAUGGCACAAAGGAACCAUGACAGAGGGAUGGUGGGUGGAAUAUGCUUCUGCAGCAAGGUGUGGGUGGGGGUGUGAGCACAAAGGUGGUGAUUCUCUCCCCUGCCCCCCAGUUUCACGCCUCUGCUGCACACUUGCAUCUCUUCCUACCUGGCUGCUUAUUAAAGGUCUAAUUUUUGCCAUUUAAGAGUGGUGCACUUAA